CCUACGGGAGGCAGCAGUGGGGAAUAUUGGACAAUGGGGGGAACCCUGAUCCAGCCAUGCCGCGUGUGUGAAGAAGGCCCUCGGGUUGUAAAGCACUUUCAGUGAGGAAGAACGCCUGGUGGUUAAUACCCAUCAGGAAAGACAUCACUCACAGAAGAAGCACCGGCUAACUCCGUGCCAGUAGCCGCGGUAAUACGGAGGGUGCGAGCGUUAAUCGGAAUUACUGGGCGUAAAGCGCGCGUAGGUGGCUUGAUAAGCCGGUUGUGAAAGCCCCGGGCUCAACCUGGGAACGGCAUCCGGAACUGUCAAGCUAGAGUGCAGGAGAGGAAGGUAGAAUUCCCGGUGUAGCGGUGAAAUGCGUAGAGAUCGGGAGGAAUACCAGUGGCGAAGGCGGCCUUCUGGACUGACACUGACACUGAGGUGCGAAAGCGUGGGUAGCAAACAGGAUUAGAUACCCUAGUAGUC
rnacentral:rRNA from 1 species